GAUGAACGCUGGCGGCGUGCCUAAUACAUGCAAGUCGAGCGAACAGACGAGGAGCUUGCUCCUCUGACGUUAGCGGCGGACGGGGGAGUAACACGUGGAUAACCUACCUAUAAGACUGGGAUAAAUUCGGGAAACCGGAGCUAAUACCGGAUAAUAUAUUGAACCGCAUGGUUCAAUAGUGAAAGACGGUUUUGCUGUCACUUAUAGAUGGAUCCGCGCCGCAUUAGCUAGUUGGUAAGGUAACGGCUUACCAAGGCAACGAUGCGUAGCCGACCUGAGAGGGUGAUCGGCCACACUGGAACUGAGACACGGUCCAGACUCCUACGGGAGGCAGCAGUAGGGAAUCUUCCGCAAUGGGCGAAAGCCUGACGGAGCAACGCCGCGUGAGUGAUGAAGGUCUUCGGAUCGUAAAACUCUGUUAUUAGGGAAGAACAAAUGUGUAGGUAACUAUGCACGUCUUGACGGUACCUAAUCAGAAAGCCACGGCUAACUACGUG
rnacentral:rRNA from 1 species